rnacentral:rRNA from 1 species
UACGAAGGGGGCUAGCGUUGUUCGGAAUUACUGGGCGUAAAGCGCGCGCAGGCGGCUAUUCAAGUCGGGGGUGAAAGCCCAGAGCUCAACUCUGGAACUGCCUUCGAAACUGGAUAGCUUGAGUACGGGAGAGGUGAGUGGAAUUCCCAGUGUAGAGGUGAAAUGCGUAGAUAUCCGGAGGAACACCAGUGGCGAAAGCAGCCUUCUAGACCAUGACUGACGCUCAGACGCGAAAGCUAGGGGAGCAAACGGG